rnacentral:tRNA from 1 species
UGGGGGUUAGUUCAGUGGUUAGAACACCGGAUUUUGAUUCCGGGUGUCGCAGGUUCGAGUCCUGCACCCUCUGCCA